rnacentral:lncRNA from 1 species
AAGUAUUUGAAUUAUGUGCUGUUAUCAGAUCCAUGUAAUUAUUUGUAACAUUAUCAUUUAUCAAAACUAUUGUUCGCAAACUGCUAACAUCAAUUUUACAAUCCAAAUUGUAUAUCAAUGGUCAUCAACACGAUGUUCCAGUCAUUCUUCUAACUACUGCUACUUUUCAUAGACUGAAGGAAAUUACACUUUGUUUAAUGCUUUUGCAUCAUUAUUGAGUGCUAGUAUUUCUGCAAUUUGAAUUGUAUGUAUUGAGUACUAAACUUGAAAUACCAGACAUGUAUAUUGCUACGACCGCGAAUCAUAGAAGAAGUUUGUUUAGCAAACUCACGAUACACAUGGCAAUCUUAUUUAACGAAGAUUUUUGGUUGUGUGGUAUCGUUAAGUGAACCACUAAUUCGAUUUCAAUUAUCCAAGUGUUUUCCAUAAGAACAAUUAGUAAUAAUAAUUUACUGGUGAAAUUCAUAAGCGAGAUCGAAGGUUAUGAUACAUUACUUGGUUCUCCAAUAUACCAUGGUGUAUAAUAUGACAAUCUAUAACAUUGUCAAUAUUAUAUUUCAUUCAUCAGCAGUACUUGAUACAUUUGUUUUAAGCUUAUACAUAAUUAUACUAUUCUUAUUUUCAACAAGCUCCAAGAUACAAGAUUUAUUAAUUGUGAAUCAAUUAUUGAACAAAAAAAAAUACAUGUACCUAUAUGUACAAUCUUGCAGAAUUGUUUUGGUUAGGUUAGGU